GUCCUUUCAAGUUAGGACUGCAAUCGCUAUAUCAAGGGCGUCGGGAAACCGACUAUGGCGAUAAACGGCGUGUGUAAUAACCGAUGCGGACCCGGGGGCAGUACCCGGCGCCUCCACCAAAUUCCCGGCUGCCUAAGUGGGCAGGCACGGUACGGGGGCGAAACAGGAUCGACGCGCGGGUAAAGACAUGUUUUUUGCUCGGCAUGGUACCACCGUUAUCGGGCCGUAUCACAGAUGCCAACGACAAUCGUAUGGCUCUCGCUGCCUAAUUAGGCAAGCGCGGUCCGGGGGGCACCGGGCAACAGAAGCCCCCCACU
rnacentral:tmRNA from 1 species